rnacentral:rRNA from 1 species
GAUGAACGCUAGCUACAGGCUUAACACAUGCAAGUCGAGGGGUAACAUGAAGCAAGCUUGCUUGCUUUGAUGACGACCGGCGCACGGGUGAGUAACGCGUAUCCAACCUGCCCCUUACUACGGGACAGCCCGGCGAAAGUCGGAUUAAUACCGUAUGUGGUGUGAAGAGGGCAUCUGACUUACACUAAAGAUUCAUCGGUAAGGGAUGGGGAUGCGUCCGAUUAGGUUGUCGGCGGGGUAACGGCCCACCGAGCCUUCGAUCGGUAGGGGUUCUGAGAGGAAGGUCCCCCACACUGGAACUGAGACACGGUCCAGACUCCUACGGGAGGCAGCAGUGAGGAAUAUUGGUCAAUGGGCGGGAGCCUGAACCAGCCAAGUAGCGUGAGGGAAGACUGCCCUAUGGGUUGUAAACCUCUUUAGUCUGGGAAUAAAGUCGGCGACGUGUCGCCGUUUGUAGGUACCAGAAGAAUAAGGACCGGCUAAUUCCGUGCCAGCAGCCGCGGUAAUACGGAAGGUCCGGGCGUUAUCCGGAUUUAUUGGGUUUAAAGGGAGCGCAGGCGGCCUGUUAAGCGGGCAGUUAAAGGCGGUGGCCCAACCAUCGUUAGCUGUCCGAACUGCCGGGCUUGAGUACGUGCGAGGUAUGCGGAAUUCGUGGUGUAGCGGUGAAAUGCUUAGAUAUCACGAAGAACCCCGAUUGCGAAGGCAGCAUACCAGUGCGCCACUGACGCUAAAGCUCGAAAGCGCGGGUAUCGAACAGGAUUAGAUACCCUGGUAGUCCGCGCGGUAAACGAUGGAUGCCCGCUGUGCGGCCUUUUAUGGUUGCGCGGCCAAGCGAAAGCGUUAAGCAUCCCACCUGGGGAGUACGUACGCAAGUAUGAAACUCAAAGGAAUUGACGGGGACCCGCACAAGCAGCGGAGCAUGUGGUUUAAUUCGAAGCAACGCGAAGAACCUUACCAGGCCUUGACAUCUCCCGGAAACUUCUGAUAACGAAGAAGCCUCCUUCGGGACCGGGGUGACAGGUGGUGCAUGGUUGUCGUCAGCUCGUGUCGUGAGAUGUUGGGUUAAGUCCCGCAACGAGCGCAACCCUUGCCAAUAGUUGCCAUCAUUAAGUUGGGCACUCUAUUGGGACUGCCGGGGACAACUCGGAGGAAGGUGGGGAUGACGUCAAAUCAUCAUGCCCCUUAUGGUCUGGGCUACACACGUGCUACAAUGGUCGGUACAAAAAGCAGCAAUACCGUGAGGUGGAGCGAAUCUCCAAAACCGAUCCCAGUUCGGAUUGCAGGCUGCAACUCGCCUGCAUGAAGUCGGAGUUGCUAGUAAUCGUGGAUCAGAAUGCCACGGUGAAUGCGUUCCCGGGUCU